AGGAAAAACAAUGCCUGUCUUUGUCUGACUCAAAAAGCAUGCUUUUUGUACACUAAAUAAAGUCCAAUUCAAUUUUAAUUUUAUACAAACUGAAACAAAUAAUUUAAAGAUUUACUUAGUAAAUUACUUCAGAUUGGGAUCAAAUGUGUGCAUGAAUUAUGAAAACGUAGGAAAUGGAUAUUUAGAUAAGUAUACCAGAACAUAAAAAUUCCAGUGCCUG
rnacentral:lncRNA from 1 species